rnacentral:tRNA from 1 species
CCCUGGGUGGUGGAACAGUUAACAUGCCUGGCUGCUAACCAAAAAGUUGGGGGUUCAAGUCCACCCAGGGU